rnacentral:rRNA from 1 species
CUGUUGUUAGAGAAGAACGUGUGUGAGAGUAACUGUUCAUGCAGUGACGGUAUCUAACCAGAAAGCCACGGCUAACUACGUGCCAGCAGCCGCGGUAAUACGUAGGUGGCAAGCGUUGUCCGGAUUUAUUGGGCGUAAAGGGAACGCAGGCGGUUUUUUAAGUCUGAUGUGAAAGCCUUCGGCUUAACCGAAGUCAUGCAUUGGAAACUGAAAGACUUGAGUGCAGAAGAGGAGAGUGGAACUCCAUGUGUAGCGGUGAAAUGCGUAGAUAUAUGGAAGAACACCAGUGGCGAAAGCGGCUCUCUGGUCUGUAACUGACGCUGAGGUUCGAAAGUGUGGGUAGCAAACAGGAUUAGAUACCCUGGUAGUCCACACCGUAAACGAUGAAUGCUAAGUGUUGGAGGGUUUCCGCCCUUCGGUGCUGCAGCUAACGCAUUAAGCAUUCCGCCUGGGGAGUACGACCGCAAGGUUGAAACUCAAAGGAAUUGACGGGGGCCCGCACAAGCGGUGGAGCAUGUGGUUUAAUUCGAAGCAACGCGAAGAACCUUACCAGGUCUUGACAUCUUCUGACAGCCUAAGAGAUUAGGUGUUCCCUUCGGGGACAGAAUGACAGGUGGUGCAUGGUUGUCGUCAGCUCGUGUCGUGAGAUGUUGGGUUAAGUCCCGCAACGAGCGCAACCCUUAUUAUUAGUUGCCAGCAUUAAGUUGGGCACUCUAGUGAGACUGCCGGUGACAAACCGGAGGAAGGUGGGGAUGACGUCAAAUCAUCAUGCCCCUUAUGACCUGGGCUACACACGUGCUACAAUGGACGGUACAACGAGUCGCGAAACCGCGAGGUUUAGCUAAUCUCUUAAAGCCGUUCUCAGUUCGGAUUGUAGGCUGCAACUCGCCUACAUGAAGUCGGAAUCGCUAGUAAUCGCGGAUCAGCAUGCCGCGGUGAAUACGUUCCCGGGCCUUGUACACACCGCCCGUCACACCAUGAGAGUUUGUAACACCCAAAGCCGGUGAGGUAACCUUUAUGGGGCCAGCCGUCUAAGUGGACAGAAAGUGA